rnacentral:rRNA from 1 species
AGAACGAACGCUGGCGGCGUGCUUAACACAUGCAAGUCGAGCGGAAAGGCCCUUCGGGGUACUCGAGCGGCGAACGGGUGAGUAACACGUGAGCAACCUGCCCUUAGCUCCGGGAUAGCUCCGGGAAACCGGAAUUAAUACCGGAUACGACCACGGCCGACAUCUGCUGUGGUGGAAAGGAUUCCGGCUAAGGAUGGGCUCGCGGCCUAUCAGCUAGUUGGUGGAGUAACGGCCCACCAAGGCGACGACGGGUA